GUUUUAGCGCAAUGGACGAAAGUACUGACGCAGCAACGCCGCGUGAGGGAUGACGGCCUUCGGGUUGUAAACCUCUUUUGUCAGGGACGAUGAUGACGGUACCUGACGAAUAAGCCACGGCUAACUACGUGCCAGCAGCCGCGGUAAUACGUAGGUGGCAAGCGUUGUCCGGAUUUACUGGGCGUAAAGAGCGCGCAGGCGGUCGUUCAAGUCGCGUGUGAAAGCCCCCGGCUCAACUGGGGAGGGUCACGCGAUACUGAUCGACUCGAAGGCAGGAGAGGGUAGUGGAAUUCCCGGUGUAGUGGUGAAAUGCGUAGAUAUCGGGAGGAACACCAGUGGCGAAGGCGACUACCUGGCCUGUUCUUGACGCUGAGGCGCGAAAGCUAGGGGAGCAAACGGGAUUAGAUACCCCGGUAGUCCUAGCCGUAAACGAUGGACACUAGGUGUUGGUGGUAUCAACCCCGCCAGUGCCGAAGCUAACGCAUUAAGUGUCCCGCCUGGGGAGUACGGCCGCAAGGCUA
rnacentral:rRNA from 1 species